CAAUAGCGUAUAUUAAAGUUGUUGCAGUUAAAAAGCUCGUAGUUGGAUUUGUGGCGGUCCCUGUGGUCCAAUUUUGGUACUCUCGGGGACUGCCAUCCUUGGGUGGAUCCUGUGUGGCAUUAGGUUGUCGUGCAGGGGAUGCCCAUCGUUUACUGUGAAAAAAUUAGAGUGUUCAAAGCAGGCUUACGCCGUUGAAUAUAUUAGCAUGGAAUAAUGAGAUAGGACCUUGGUACUAUUUUGUUGGUUUGCGCACCGAGGUAACGAUUAAUAGGGACAGUUGUGGGUAUUCGUAUUCCAUUGUCAGAGGUGAAAUUCUUGGAUUUCUGGAAGACGAACUACUGCGAAAGCAUUUACCAAGGAUGUUUNCAUUA
rnacentral:rRNA from 1 species